rnacentral:misc_RNA from 1 species
AAGUCGUAACAAGGUUUCCGUAGGUGAACCUGCGGAAGGAUCAUUAACACGUAUCCAAACGUUAAACAACCCCGUGAACAUACAACCUGCUCUGGUCGCCCGCUCGCAUGGACAAGCCCAGUAAAUCAAGCCCCGGAAAGUUUUUGAUUUGGGACCUCUGUGCGCGUGAGAAAAACUGACAGCGAUUCAUAGAAGCGGUAGGUCAAGUGACACGGCGUCCCCAAGUGACCAGUGAAUGAAAGUGUCGCUGGAGCGUCAAGGACGACUCUUCAAGAUUGCUAGAGGUCGACCACCGAACCCCACUUUAUUGCCUUGCCUGUAAGCAUCCAUACGGAUGGGCAGGCCCCCCGAACAACUGUUAACAAUGGAUAUCUUGGUUCUC